CCUAAUAAUACCUUGUUGUAUUUUUUCAAUAACAAAUGGGAUGGCCCUGUAAAUUAUGCAGCACUGUUGUACCACAAAAGCUUGAUAUUGUAAAGCAUUACAGAUAGCAUCAUGUCUUGUCAUGUAUACAUGUAGACUGCCCAUGCUCUUCUACAUCCUGGAGGGCCCUCCGCAGUCUUUUGUCAAGACAGCAUCCAGAAGACCCAAGUGCCUCUGUGAUGAAGAAGAGAGAUGUGACUCUAAGAUGCCUCACUGAGUAUAUGUGAAAUAGUGGACAGGACCUUAUCUCUGAGUACUAUGGAACUGCAGAGUGCAGCGUGCAUGAGGACCUGAAAAUGCAGUUUGAGGAGCUAGCCUAUGCUCGCCAUGAGCCAGAUGCGGUGGGCAUCAUCAUCGAGGGAAUCCAGUGCUUACAGAUCUUGACAAUCUGGCCAGAAUCUCCAGUAUCCGCACUGGGUCCUCAACUAACCUCCAUGGUCAUUAGUUUCACUAACAAGUUUCAAGCGUGGACAGUGAAACAUGACAGUCACCCUGGCUGUCACAAACAGAUAUUUUUUCUGUUAAUGAACAUUUUUCUGUUAUGAUCAAGUGUUUUAAUAGUCACUGAAAUACACUGUCACAAUAUUGUAUCAAGCUGCAGUUUGUAAGCUGAGGUCACAAGUUGUAGUAUGUAAAAUGUUUUAUUAAGAUUAGAAAAGGAAAAUCUGACAAUAUUAAACCAUAACUCACAAUGUAUAAAAACACCUACAGUUGCAGCUUCUGCCUUCUAGCACAGCUUCUGUUCUGUUACCAGUGACGUCUAAUGAUGCCUGAGGCAGACUGUUAGCUGUAAUUUUUGAAAUAGUAAAAUUUGUCCCUUCAAGAUUACUGUUUAUACACAGAAGAGGUGCUGGAAAGGUAUUCUACUACACAUAGGCUGUGGUCAGAAGAUUGUGUCAAUAAUUUUGCAUAACUGCAUUUAAUGGAUUUUAAUAAAUG